AACGAACGCUGGCGGCAGGCUUAACACAUGCAAGUCGAGCGCACUCUUCGGAGUGAGCGGCGGACGGGUUAGUAACGCGUGGGAACGUGCCCAGAUCUAAGGAAUAGCCACUGGAAACGGUGAGUAAUACCUUAUACGCCCUUCGGGGAAAGAUUUAUCGGAUUUGGAUCGGCCCGCGUUAGAUUAGAUAGUUGGUGGGGUAGCGGCCUACCAAGUCUACGAUCUAUAGCUGGUUUUAGAGGAUGAUCAGCAACACUGGGACUGAGACACGGCCCAGACUCCUACGGGAGGCAGCAGUGGGGAAUCUUGGACAAUGGCGCAAGCCUGAUCCAGCCAUGCCGCGUGUGUGAAGAAGGCUUUCGGGUUGUAAAGCACUUUCAGUAGGGAGGAAAAGUUAAUGGUUAAUACCCAUUAG
rnacentral:rRNA from 1 species